rnacentral:rRNA from 1 species
UACGUGGGGGGCAAGCGUUGUCCGGAAUCAUUGGGCGUAAAGCGCGCGUAGGCGGCCCGAUAAGUCCGCUGUAAAAGUCCAGGGCUCAACCCUGGAAAGCCGGUGGAUACUGUCGGACUCGAGUCCGGAAGAGGCGAGUGGAAUUCCAGGUGUAGCGGUGAAAUGCGUAGAUAUCUGGAGGAAUACCGGUGGCGAAGGCGGCAUCCUGGACCGACAUUGACGCUGAUGAGCGAAAGCUAGGGGAGCAAACGGG